GUUUGGAUUUCUUGGUUGUAACAAUCACCAAGUGGCCUCAGGCAGGCUGGUAUCAGCCUCUGGUUUCUUAAGAAUGGCUCUCCUUGCUGGAUCAGACCAAAGGCCCAUCUAGUCCUGCAUCUUGUCUCCAGAAUGCCCCAUCAGAUGCUCAAAAGCAGGGUGGUAGGAACAGCUUUCAGUUACAGCUUCAGUGACCUUCAAGGUGUGUAAUCGUUCUUAAUUCUCCCCAGUGCUACUUCUCAAGCUGGGAGUUGCAGGAAGUUGAACUGGGAACCUGUUUGGAUCAUAGGACUGGCUGGUUAUGAACACUGAAUAACUGGAACUCAGCAGUUUGGGCAUACUCUGUCUGGAAGAUCGCCAUUUUAAAGGGACAGCACUUGCCUUUUAGGAAUGUUGCUGUCCAUGGUGUAUAAAUGAUCUCUUUCCCCUUGAUCUACCAGUCCCUUUUUGCAAAGAUGAGAUUCCUCUGUCCACCAAGAGGUUUAAAACCAAACAGAAAUCCAGUUCAUAUAAGAUCUUACUUACUUGGGGGCACUUUGCAAAAAAGCCCACUGCAAAAUUAGGCAUGUCCACCUUCAGAAAGAUCCUCAUUUGGUUUAGAAAGGAUUAUUGGACUGCGUUAGGGGGUAUUGACUUUUCAUACAGUACUCUUGAGAAUGCAUCCUUCUUUACUUCUGAAGGAUUACUUGGGGAUGAAGGCUACCUUGCUUGGAGGUAAGUAAAUAAUGACUAUUUGCCCAACUAGCUCAGUACUGUCUACUCUGACUGGCAGUGCUCACAUAGAGCCUUUCCUUUCACUUGCUACAUGAUCCUUUUAGCCUGCAGCGGGAAAUUUGUUGUUGGGAUUUGAUUAGAUGAUAGGAGAGGAUAUAUUCAUUAGAUAAUAUCAUUCCUUCCUCACGUUUAUGAGUACAGCAGAGUGCCAUCCCUUUGCAGCUUAAAGGGGAAGCUUAGAUAAGUACAGUGGUACAUCAGGUUAAGUACUUAAUUCGUUCCGGAAGUCCGUUCUUAACAUGAAACUGUUCUUAACCUGAAUCACCACUUCAGCUAAUGGGGCCUCCUGCUGCUGCCGCGCCGCCGGAGCGCAAUUUCUGUUCUCAUCCUGAAGCAAAGUUCUUAAGCUGAAGCACUAUGUCUGGGUUAGCGGAGUCUGUAACCUGAAGCGUAUGUAACCUGAAGUGUACGUAACCUAAGGUACCACUGUAUUAGUAUUUUAGUAUUAAUAAUGCAGGAUGCUUUAAGGAGGACUGGAUUUUCCUGGUAUUACCCCCUUUAAAGGUAAAGGGACGCCUAACCAUUAGGUCCAGUCACGGACAACUUUGGGGUUUCGGCGCUCAGCACGCUUUACUGGCCGAGGGAGCCGGCGUACAGCUUCCGGGUCAUGUGGCCAGCAUGACUAAGCCACCUCUGGCGAACCAGAGCAGUGCACGGAAACGCCAUUUACCUUCCUGUCGGAGCGGUGCCUAUUUAUCUACUUGCACUUUGAUGUGCUUUCGAACUGCUAGGUUGGCAGGAUCAGGGACUGAGCAACGGGAGCUCACCCCGUCGUGGGGUUUUGAACCGUCGACCUUCCAAUCGGCAAGCCCUAAGCUCAGUGGUUUAGACCACAGCACCACCCGUGUCCUGUAUUACCCCCUUUACUCACCCUUUAAAAGUAAAAAAUUACAUUUACUCAGUAUAGGUCUUAAAGAAUAACAGAUGCAACAGCUUGGUGCAGGCAGGCUUAAAAUACUAAUUGAGUUACAAGACAUACUAAGUCUAGCUUUAAAAUGGAGUCUGAUCUUGAGCCCAGAAUUAUAGGUGUUCUCACGUUGCAGGCAUGAUGGAAAAGAGGAUGCGCCCAGGCAGCGAGGAGCAUACAUAGUUACAUCAUUUCCUGUCAGGAGACAAAUAGGGAAGUGAUAUCACAUUAUUCCUUUUAGCAAGUUUACAGGAAAGCUCUUUGAGCCUCAGCCCCUUUGUGUGCCUAAUUGGCAAAACAGAAAUUGUUGGGUUUGACGGAAGUAAAUAUCCCACAUGUGUGGCCCUCCAGAUGUUGCUGAACUACAAUUUCCACCAUCCUUUUAAGUAAGGCCAUGUUGGCUGGGGUUGUCGGGAGUUGUAGUUCAGCAUCAUCUAGAAAAGCACAUGUACCCCAUUCCUGCUUUUAAUGGAAGAUGCCAGAGAUUUAACCAAGGACCUUUUGAAGUGAUGCAUACACACACCCAUCCACCUGCGUAUGUCCCCCUAGGAAUUCAGUAAUCCUUAUAAAACCUUUAUAAAUUAGGCCACUGUUAAUCACAUCUAGAAGAGCCAAUAGUCUGUGACUUGUCUUUGAGGUCCUUCUGACCAGCAAAUGGAAACUAGGACUGUGUACCGCAGGGUUUCCCAAACUUUGGUAUCCAGCUGUUUUAGACUGCAAUUCCCAUCAUCCCUGACAGCUGGUCCUGCUAGCUAGGGAUGAUGGGAGUCGUAGUCCAACAACAGCUGGAGACCCAAGUUUGGGAAACCCUGGUGUACAGCCUGUCCUCCCAAUCCACUGUAUGGCCCCUUUCUGUGACCCCUGGAUCAGGACUAUCUGCCCUGUGCCACCCAGGAUAACAAUCCCCAUCUUGACCCAGAUCCAUGCCCAAAGCAAUCAGGAGAAGGGUCUUAUCAUCCAGUUACAGCUCUAUUUAGCCAAGGUCCAGAUCCCUCUGAAUAAGCUCACUUUCACUCAUCCCUACUGGAAAUAGUUACAGGGAAAACUAUGGGCUCCUUGAACGCUUCCCAUUUUAGGUUCAGAGUGCAUAUACCCCACCGUACAGUGUGUCUGUUUCACCUCAAAUUCCUCCGUCACAAAUCAGACUAAUUAGAAGUUUUUAGUGCUUUCCUAAGACGUUGUUAAAAAAAUGGCAAUGACAAUGAAAAUAAGGUAUUAAAUUAUCUCUUACAAUUAAACUAUAAUUACAAAGAAUUGUGGCAAAUAAAGCAAAUGUCUGGUCCUAAGGACCUCAAUUAAAUCAAGAAAGAAAGAAAUAUAAAUAGAAUUCUCAACUAAGCUUACAAACAAAACAAUCCAACUCACGAAUUAUAAGGUCAAAAUACUCCUGCAAACAUCCUAUUAGCAAUUAGUAACGAGAAAGAGAAGGAAGAAAGGGGCAUGAAGACCAAAGAUCCUAAUUAAAGUCAUUGAUUAAUAUGUAUUUUGAUCAAGCUAGACAAGUUUCUUCAUGGCUACCAUAGUCUCAGAUGUUUGAUGGUGCACUGAGUUGAACACGCUUGUUAGGAACUGUAGCCGAGCUCCCUUUGUGCCAGGCUGGGUAUGUGUGGAUUGGGAACAGAACUUCCUCCCUCCACCCAGUCCUGCUAGUCUGCACUGGCCUCUAUCCAUGGAAUGAUGCCAGCAUCAUCACUAGCACUGAACUCCCCAUGCUUCCUGCUUAAUGCACAGGCUGUCGUGUUCAGGUCUGAUGCUAGAUCCCAUGGAGAAAGAGGCAAGGCUGGUCAAAGGUUACCAGAACACAGAUAUAUCCAAGUAAACAACUUGCUCCAACAAAGGUUGGGAGCAGGCUGAAGCCUUUUAAGCCUCUGUCUCCAGGCUGCCUAGUCCAGGCUCCAUCCCCUUAUGGAGAUCUUCAGAGUCUUAAAGGGUCAACCCUCAGACCUGAAUACAGGCACUGCUCCAUUCUGUAGCUUCCCUCCCACUGAUGGGCAGUGGGAGGCAUCUGGUUCCUAGGGUUCAGGGGGAGGUUCCUUUGAAGGUCUUGUCUCUGACCCUAUAGAUCCUGGUGGUCUGGAAGCUUCCUAUGGGAGCCUCAGCCAACAGUCUCGGGUGCAAUGGCCUCCCAUUGCAAUGGCCUACCAGCAGUCAGCCCUGACCCUCACCUGGUUCCCCAUCUGAUACCACGCCAACUCUGUGUCCAGGUCACUGAUAGGUUCAUGGAUCACGUGGACAGAAAUGCUUCUGGCAGGAUCUAAAAUAGUUUAAUAGUCAAUUCCUCUUCCUGGGGAACUAUGGAAAUUGUAGCUCUGGGAGGGGAUUAAAAGUAUUCUGACAACACUCAGCACUGUUGGCAAACUACAGCUCCCAGGAUUCUUUGGGGGAAGCCAUGACUGUUUAUAGUGGCAUCACAGUGCUUUCAGUGCACAUUGCUAAUGUGACCCUAGGCUCUUUCUGUGCCUCAAGGGCACCUGGAUCCCCCUCACCUUGAAGGACCAUGAAGACUUCUGGAUCAUGCUGGUCUUGAACUUGGGCAACAACAGUAUUCACCACAUACUGCCCUUGUUUUGCAUGUGCUAAUAGCCCAGCUUGGCCAUGUCAUCAACAUGAUGAUGCUCUGUGUUGUCCAUUUACACCAGGGAUGUGGCCCUCCAGAGGUUGUGGUACUAUAACCCCUAUCAUCCCUGUCAAUUGGUCAUGCUGGCUAGGGCUGAUAGGAGCCAAAAAUAUCUGGAAGACUAUAGCUAAGCCACUUUCUCGCCUAGAAAGUAGAUUCCAUUAAACUCAAUGAAGUUUACUCUCGAGGAAGUAUGUUCAAGGCUUCACUGUUAAGCUGACUUGCAAGUAGAGACCUAAGCAAGUAGCACCCAUUUUUUUCCCUUUAUUUUUUUUGGCCACAAUCAGCACUAUUUCCAUUCUGCUGCAGUUUGGCUUCUGCUAAAACCUACUUUUUCCAUCUCAAUAUACACUACGGCCAAAACAAAAGCAAUUAAUUACAUAAUUCAUUACACAAUAAACUUGAGUGCAUUGCAUGGAAGCGGAACAUCAAAGACAAUGCAAAACAACAACAACAACAAUCAUUUGCAGACUCACAAAAACAAUUGUGAGCACUUCCCCUUUUGCGAUCUUGGACCAACAUUUUCAUUUCUGAUCAAAUUCUCUGACAUCCCUGCUUGCAGAUGUGCCUUUAUGUGCCCCGUGUGGCAACACCCACCUGUCCAACACUGCUCCUGAAUGUACCCAGAGUCCCCAUGUUCCUCAUAAGGUCCAAAAUAAACUUCCAUCUGGACCCUGUUUCAAGGCUAAUGCGUAUCCUCUCUUAAUUAUUGAUUUGUUUAUUACAGACACACUGGCAGGACAUUCAUUGCCUCUCGCAUGCCAGAUCUGCGCCUCAAACCACACAAGGGUCCAGCGGGUGGCUCAGAUGUUGGCACAGAAGCCACACUGAACAGUGAUGGGAGUUGCACCAUGGCUUUUGGGGGGCUUCUGCAGCUGCACCUCUCCAUCCCCUAGGCAGGCAGCCCCUUGCUGGCUUGGGAAGGCUGGAGAUAUCGUUUUUCAUUUGCUAUCAUUUUGUUCUCCAUUUAAAGUUCCUGAUUCCUCUUGGCUCCAAUAGCGAGCUGGAGAUGGACCCCAUAUGCCAUGGGGAAGAGCCCCGCAGAACUGGAAGGGGCUUCCUCUCCCUCUCCCUCCCUCUCUCUUUCACAGCAUCGCUUCUUAAUGUGUCAAGUGGAAGUUUGGGGAACUUGGCACGCCAGAUCACAACACAAUUAUGCCAUCGAGCACCGAAGCUGCUGUCAUCUUCGCACAGGGAGAGAUUAGAUCCUACACAUUAACGUGAUGGUUAAUGAUUUUUCUUUCUUUUUUUUGCAGGGCGUUUGGAUGCAGGGAAAACAUACACUGGCAUACUGAUGCUUUGGGAAGAAAAGAAAAAAAACUCAGCCCUGUUAUUCUAAGGUAAUAAAUCUGUCACUUCCUCUCCCUAAAUCUUGGGUUUUGCAAAAUGCAGCAGGGCAAAGGUGUGUGUCAUGGUGAAGAAAUACAGGUUCAAUCUACCUCAGUGUUCCUUCUUUGUUCGGUUUUGUUUUGUUUGUUUGUUUACAUACCCAGAGCUCAUUCAGACUUUAUCCAGAAGUGAUAGGCACUCUUGAUUCUCCCUUGCUGGUAUUAAGUCAGCAGCAUAAGUGAUAGCAAAACCUCUGUAGACUCUGGCUAGUCUUCACGACAAUCUUGUAAGACACUAAGGCAAGAGUGAGCAACCUUUUUCUCUCUCAUGAGGGCCACAUUCCUUUGGACGCAAUCAGUUGUGGGAGGCAGAUGCCAGCAGUGUCACAGUACUGAGUCAGGUGACCAAAGGAGCCAAAGCUGACCAACAGCAUGCCACCGUAAACAGUUGUGGCUUCCCCACUAGAACCUUGAGUACUGUAGUUUGUGAAGGGUGCUGAGAGUUGUUAGGAGACCCCUAGUCCCCUCACAGAACUACAAUUCCCAGAGUGGUUCAACAAUCAAGAGAGCUUGAUUGUUAAACCACUCUGGGAAUUGUAGCUCUGGGUGGGGAAUAGGGGCGUCCUGACAACUUUCAGCACCCUUCACAAGCAACAGCUCCCAGGAUUCUUUGGGGGAAGCCAUGACUGUUUAAAGUGACAUGAUACUAAUGUAUAGUGCAGAUAAGGCCUUUGUGAGAUAGUUGUCCCUUAGCGUUACAGUUUGGGGAAUUACAGAAGCCUUUCUGUCUGGACUGAGCAAGGUCUUGCCGCCAGUGCAACUGGGCCUAUUAAAAGCUUCCUUGCUGAGCCAUUCUUUAGCAACCCCCCAAAUGUCAAGGCAGUGUCUGUAUGUGCAAUCUUCUUGGCUGGACUGAAUCAUCUGCCUGCCUCAGACCCCUCCACUCCCCUUUGACCCAUCUGCUCAUUAACUGUGGCCUGCAUAGCCUGACCUUUUGGCCUGCCUUAGCCUAUGCCACUUGCCUCUGGCCCCCAGCUGGCUGAUUAUUUGCUCCGGCCUGCCCUUGGGGCUCUGACCCUGUUGACACUUUGCAGGAAGGGACUAUAGGUUGGGGGCAGAGGACAUGUGUUGCUUGCAGAAGAACCAUUGUUAAACCCUUGUCUCCCACUGAAAGGGUCUCAGGUUCCAGGGUUUGGAAAGAUCUCUGCCCAAGUCCUGGUAGGGCUACUUAAGGGCAGCACAGGCAGCAUUGGACCUGAUGACCCAAUGGUCUGACUCCAUAGAAGAAGGCUUCAUGCAUUCAACCUGCCCACCUCAUUCAUUCAUUCAAUUUAUUUUAGUUAGACAGCUCAAAGCAAGUGUCUAAUGAGUGAUGGAAGAUAUUAGCAAAAUCCCAGAGGUAGGACAUCAAUGUUUCCAUCCCAGCUGUGCUGUUCAGUCACACUUUCUUAGCCCACAUUCCAGUAUCCCAUUCUUUACAACUGCUGAACCUCUUUCACACUGUGGUGAUUAAAGUCUUUUUUUUUUUGCAUCAGACCACCCUACAGUGAAGUCUCUCUGACAGCACCUAGACCAGGGUCAUGCUUGGAGACAAGGGGCUCAGUCCAGAGAGGAUAAAACCCUUUCUCAAAACACACAGGACAUGGAAACUCAAGUUUCAAGUUUAAUGCUCAACAAGCCAAGAUCAAGUAUGUUGAAUUUUUUUUAAAAAAAGAAAAAAGAUCCAGAAAAAAUGUCAGGAAACAAUCCAAGGCCACCAUUACAGUGAGCUCAGCAAUGAGAAGAAAGCUAGAAGAAUGAUCAAGGAACCAGAAACUUGUCCUGCUUCCUUCAAAUGGAAGGUUCAAGUGAAAGGCCUUAUAUACUCUGGUAUCCUAAACCACACCUUAACCACAGCUGCUGGCAGUGAGAGGGUAUCAAGGAUUGUUCAUGAGUAGACCAGUUAAUCCGAGUCCCUAGGCACAUAAGGUGUCACCACUAUUUAGUCUGGACUUGAAGAUUCUGGCACCAGCCAUCUCGAGGACUUAGUGGGGGCUGCUUUACCUCCUGCUCUGACAGGUCCAUGUCAGGUAUCAAUUCAGAUGGCCCCUCAAGGGGAUCCUCAGCACUGGAUUCAGAGGGCUGCUGCUCAAGGUCCUUGACCUGUGGGAUGUCUGCUUCAUCCUCCAAGGAUUCUGUGUCUGGCACCAGGUCAGGUGUCCCCCAGGUUGGACCAGUUCAGGGGCAAUCCGAGAUUCCAAAAGAGGGGUUCUGUUUGGGGACGAGGAGCUGCACACAGCCCCAUUUUGUGGAUACAUCAUUUUCCACUUUGUGUAUUAUCAACUUCAAUUAGUGCUAGUUCAGAGAGAGCCCUAACUGGAAGGAGUUAUGCAAAAAUGGGGGGGG
rnacentral:lncRNA from 1 species